CUAGGUGUAGCUCAAUGCUAGAGCACUUGCCUAGCAAACCCAAAUAGCCUGGGUUCGAUCCCCGGUACCAAUA
rnacentral:tRNA from 1 species